rnacentral:rRNA from 1 species
ACUCAAAGGAAUUGACGGGGGCCCGCACAAGCGGAGGAACAUGUGGUUUAAUUCGAUGAUACGCGAGGAACCUUACCUGGGCUUAAAUGUAGAUUGCAUAGGGUAGAGAUAUCCUUUCCCUUCGGGGCUAUUUACAAGGUGCUGCAUGGUUGUCGUCAGCUCGUGCCGUGAGGUGUCGGGUUAAGUCCCAUAACGAGCGCAACCCUUACCGUUAGUUGCCAUCGGGUCAAGCCGGGAACUCUAGCGGGACUGCCACCGUAAGGUGAGAGGAAGGUGGGGAUGACGUCAAAUCAGCACGGCCCUUAUGUCCAGGGCUACACACGUGUUACAAUGGCCGGUACAGAGGGCAGCUACUUAGCGAUAAGAUGCUAAUCCCCAAAGCCGGUCCCAGUUCGGAUUGGAGUCUGCAACCCGACUCCAUGAAGUUGGAUUCGCUAGUAAUCGCGCAUCAGCCAUGGCGCGGUGAAUACGUUCCCGGGCCUUGUACACACCGCCCGU